rnacentral:rRNA from 1 species
CCUACGGGUGGCUGCAGUGAGGAAUCUUGGUCAAUGGACGAGAGUCUGAACCAGCAACGUAGCGUGAAGGAUGACUGCUCUAUGGGUUGUAAACUUCUUUUAUAUGGGAAUAAAAUGUUCCACGUGUGGGAUUUUGUAUGUACCAUAUGAAUAAGGAUCGGCUAACUCCGUGCCAGCAGCCGCGGUAAUACGGAGGAUCCGAGCGUUGUCCGGAUUUAUUGGGUUUAAAGGGAGCGUAGGUGGAUUGUUAAGUCAGUUGUGAACGUUUGCGGCUCAACCGUAAAAUUGCAGUUGAAACUGGCAGUCUUGAGUACAGUAGAGGUGGGCGGAAUUCGUGGUGUAGCGGUGAAAUGCUUAGAUAUCACGAAGAACUCCGAUUGCGAAGGCAGUUCACUGGACUGCAACUGACACUGAGGCUCGAAAGUGUGGGUAUCAAACAGGAUUAGAUACCCGUGUAGUC